rnacentral:rRNA from 1 species
UUAUGAGGUGGCGAGCGGCGGACGGGUGAGUAAUGCCUAGGGAUCUGCCCAGUCGAGGGGGAUAACAGUUGGAAACGACUGCUAAUACCGCAUACGCCCUACGGGGGAAAGAGGGGGACCCUCGGGCCUCUCGCGAUUGGAUGAACCUAGGCGGGAUUAGCUAGUUGGUGAGGUAAUGGCUCACCAAGGCGACGAUCCCUAGCUGUUCUGAGAGGAUGAUCAGCCACACUGGGACUGAGACACGGCCCAGACUCCUACGGGAGGCAGCAGUGGGGAAUAUUGCACAAUGGGGGAAACCCUGAUGCAGCCAUGCCGCGUGUGUGAAGAAGGCCUUCGGGUUGUAAAGCACUUUCAGUAGGGAGGAAAGGGUGAGUCUUAAUACGGCUCAUCUGUGACGUUACCUACAGAAGAAGGACCGGCUAACUCCGUGCCAGCAGCCGCGGUAAUACGGAGGGUCCGAGCGUUAAUCGGAAUUACUGGGCGUAAAGCGUGCGCAGGCGGUUUGUUAAGCGAGAUGUGAAAGCCCUGGGCUCAACCUAGGAAUAGCAUUUCGAACUGGCAAACUAGAGUCUUGUAGAGGGGGGUAGAAUUCCAGGUGUAGCGGUGAAAUGCGUAGAGAUCUGGAGGAAUACCGGUGGCGAAGGCGGCCCCCUGGACAAAGACUGACGCUC